rnacentral:rRNA from 1 species
AGGGACCUUUUUUCGUUUGGGGUGCGAGGGUAUUGUCCUCAUGUAAAGGUAGCGCAUACACUUAGGGGGGGGGCAUGUCGUGGCUUGGUAAGGGGACGGGAA